rnacentral:rRNA from 1 species
AUUGAACGCUGGCGGCAGGCCUAACACAUGCAAGUCGAGCGGAUGAAGGGAGCUUGCUCCUGGAUUCAGCGGCGGACGGGUGAGUAAUGCCUAGGAAUAUGCCUGGUAGUGGGGGAUAACGUCCGGAAACGGGCGCUAAUACCGCAUACUUCCUGAGGGAGAAAGUGGGGGAUCUUCGGACCUCACGCUAUCAGAUGAGCCAACGUCGGCUUAGCUAGUUGGUGGGGUAAAUGCCUACCAAGGCGACGAUCCGUAACUGGUCUGAGAGGAUGAUCAGUCACACUGGAACUGAGACACGGUCCCGACUCCUACGGGAGGCCGCAGUGGGGAAUAUUGGACGAUGGGCGAAAGCCUGAUCCAGCCAUGUCGAGUGUGUGAAGAAGGUCUUCGGAUUGUAAAGCACUUUAAGUUGGGAGGAAGGGCAGUAAGUUAAUACCUUGCUGUUUUGACGUUACCAACAGAAUAAGCACCGGCUAACUUCGUG